rnacentral:rRNA from 1 species
UGAUUAAUUUAAUGGCCGCGGUAUUUUGACCGUGCAAAGGUAGCAUAAUCAUUAGUUUAUUAAUUGUGAACUUGUAUGAAUGGUUUAACGAAACAUUAUCUGUCUCAAUUUAAUUAUUAGAAUUUAAAAUUUAAGUUAAAAUGCUUAAAUUUUUUUGAAGGACGAGAAGACCCUAUAGAUCUUUAAUUAAUUUAUUUUAAUUCUUUUUGGAAUAUUGUUUGAUAUAAUUUAAAUUAAUUUUUGUUGGGGUGACAUUUAGAUAUAUUUAACUCUUUUUAAUUUUUAUCAUUUAUUUAUGAUUGUAUGACCUAUUAUUAUUAUUUAUAAGAUUUAGAUACCUUAGGGAUAACAGCGUUAUCUUUCUUGAGAGUUCAUAUCGACAGAAAGGAUUGCGACCUCGAUGUUGGAUUAAGAUUAUAUUUGGGUGUAGGUGUUCAAAUGUUAGGUCUGUUCGACCUUUAAAGUCUUACAUGAUCUGAGUUCAAAACCGGAG